rnacentral:rRNA from 1 species
AUUGAACGCUGGCGGCAGGCCUAACUCAUGCAAGUCGAGCGCGAAAACACUUCGGUGUGAGUAGAGCGGCGGACGGGUGAGUAAUGCUUGGGAAUCUGCCCAGUAGUGGGGGAUAACGUGUGGAAACGCACGCUAAUACCGCAUACGUCCUACGGGAGAAAGCAGGGGAUCUUCGGACCUUGCGCUAUUGGAUGAGCCCAAGUCGGAUUAGCUAGUUGGUGGGGUAAUGGCCUACCAAGGCGACGAUCCGUAGCUGGUCUGAGAGGAUGAUCAGCCACACUGGGACUGAGACACGGCCCAGACUCCUACGGGAGGCAGCAGUGGGGAAUAUUGCACAAUGGGCGAAAGCCUGAUGCAGCCAUGCCGCGUGUGUGAAGAAGGCUCUAGGGUUGUAAAGCACUUUCAGUAGGGAGGAAAAGCUUAAGGUUAAUAACCUUGAGCCCUGACGUUACCUACAGAAGAAGCACCGGCAAACUCCGUGCCAGCAGCCGCGGUAAUACGGAGGGUGCGAGCGUUAAUCGGAAUUACUGGGCGUAAAGCGCGCGUAGGUGGUUUGAUAAGCUAGCUGUGAAAGCCCCGGGCUCAACCUGGGAACUGCAGUUAGAACUGUCUGACUAGAGUACAGUAGAGGGUGGCGGAAUUUCCUGUGUAGCGGUGAAAUGCGUAGAUAUAGGAAGGAACAUCAGUGGCGAAGGCGGCCACCUGGACUGAUACUGACACUGAG